CCUGACUGCUAUCGGAUUGAUACUAAGGCAUGCGAGUCUUUGUAGUAAUACAAGGCAGACGGCUCAGUAACGCGUAGUCAACCUACCCUAUGGACGGGAAUAAUCUCGGGAAACUGAGCAUAAUACCCGGCGUACCACCAUUCCUGGAAUGGUUGGUGGUUAAAAUGAUUCGUCGCCGUAGGAUGGGACUGCGACCUAUCAGCUUGUUGGUGAGGUAAAGGCCCACCAAGGCGAUUACAGGUACGGGCUCUGAGAGGAGAAGCCCGGAGAUGGGUACUGAGACACGGACCCAGGCCCUAUGGGGCGCAGCAGGCGAGAAAACUUUGCAAUGUGCGAAAGCACGACAAGGUUAAUCCGAGUGAUUUCUGCUAAAGGAAUCUUUUGCCAGUUCUAAAAAUACUAGUGAAUAAGGGGUGGGCAAGUUCUGGUGUCAGCCGCCGCGGUAAAACCAGCACCUCAAGUGGUCAGGAGGAUUAUUGGGCCUAAAGCAUCCGUAGCCUGCUCUGUAAGUUUUCGGUUAAAUCUAUAUGCUCAACGUAUAGGCUGCCGAAAAUACUGCAGUGCUAGGAAGUGGGAGAGGUAGACGGUACUUGAUAGGAAGGGGUAAAAUCCUUUGAUCUAUCGAUGACCACCUGUGGCGAAGGCGGUCUACCAGAACACGUUCGACGGUGAGGGAUGAAAGCUGGGGGAGCAAACCGGAUUAGAUACCCGGGUAGUCCCAGCUGUAAACGAUGCAGACUCGAUGAUGCAUUGGCAUAUAGCCAGUGCAGUGUCGCAGGGAAGCCGUUAAGUCUGCCGCCUGGGAAGUACGUACGCAAGUAUGAAACUUAAAGGAAUUGGCUAGAGGGGCACCACAAGGGGUGAAGCCUGCGGUUC
rnacentral:rRNA from 1 species